rnacentral:rRNA from 1 species
CCUACGGGAGGCAGCAGUGAGGAAUAUUGGUCAAUGGACGAGAGUCUGAACCAGCCAAGUAGCGUGAAGGAUGACUGCCCUAUGGGUUGUAAACUUCUUUUAUAUGGGAAUAAAAUGUUCCACGUGUGGGAUUUUGUAUGUACCAUAUGAAUAAGGAUCGGCUAACUCCGUGCCAGCAGCCGCGGUAAUACGGAGGAUCCGAGCGUUAUCCGGAUUUAUUGGGUUUAAAGGGAGCGUAGGUGGAUUGUUAAGUCAGUUGUGAAAGUUUGCGGCUCAACCGGAAAAUUGCAGUUGAAACGGGCAGUCUUGAGUACAGUAGAGGUGGGCGGAAUUCGUGGUGUAGCGGUGAAAGGCUUAGAUAUCACGAAGAACUCCGAUUGCGAAGGCAGCUCACUGGACUGCAACUGACACUGAGGCUCGAAAGUGUGGGUAUCAAACAGGAUUAGAUACCCUGGUAGUC